GAUGAACGCUGGCGGCGUGCCUAAUACAUGCAAGUCGAGCGAACAGACGAGGAGCUUGCUCCUCUGACGUUAGCGGCGGACGGGUGAGUAACACGUGGAUAACCUACCUAUAAGACUGGGAUAACUUCGGGAAACCGGAGCUAAUACCGGAUAAUAUAUUGAACCGCAUGGUUCAAUAGUGAAAGACGGUUUUGCUGUCACUUAUAGAUGGAUCCGCGCCGCAUUAGCUAGUUGGUAAGGUAACGGCUUACCAAGGCGACGAUGCGUAGCCGACCUGAGAGGGUGAUCGGCCACACGGGAACUGAGACACGGUCCAGACGCCUACGGGAGGCAGCAGUAGGGAAUCUUCCGCAAUGGGCGAAAGCUUGACGGAGCAACGCCGCGUGAGUGAUGAAGGUCUUCGGAUCGUAAAACUCUGUUAUUAGGGAAGAACAAAUGUGUAAGUAACUAUGCACGUCUUGACGGUACCUAAUCAGAAAGCCACGGCUAACUACGUG
rnacentral:rRNA from 1 species